rfam:Salmo salar isolate Sally breed double haploid chromosome ssa17, whole genome shotgun sequence.
ACACGUCCAAUUUGUAAGUCGCUCUGGAUAAGAGCGUCUGCUAAAUGACGUAAA